UGGGAACGUACCUCUUGGUUCGGAACAACACAGGGAAACUUGUGCUAAUACCGGAUAAGCCCUUACGGGGAAAGAUUUAUCGCCGAGAGAUCGGCCCGCGUCUGAUUAGCUAGUUGGUGAGGUAACGGCUCACCAAGGCGACGAUCCGUAGCUGGUCUGAGAGGAUGAUCAGCCACACUGGGACUGAGACACGGCCCAGACUCCUACGGGAGGCAG
rnacentral:rRNA from 1 species